rnacentral:rRNA from 1 species
UGAGGAAUAUUGGUCAAUGGACGAGAGUCUGAACCAGCCAAGUAGCGUGAAGGAUGACUGCCCUAUGGGUUGUAAACUUCUUUUAUAUGGGAAUAAAAUGUUCCACGUGUGGGAUUUUGUAUGUACCAUAUGAAUAAGGAUCGGCUAACUCCGUGCCAGCAGCCGCGGUAAUACGGAGGAUCCGAGCGUUAUCCGGAUUUAUUGGGUUUAAAGGGAGCGUAGGUGGAUUGUUAAGUCAGUUGUGAAAGUUUGCGGCUCAACCGUAAAAUUGCAGUUGAAACUGGCAGUCUUGAGUACAGUAGAGGUGGGCGGAAUUCGUGGUGUAGCGGUGAAAUGCUUAGAUAUCACGAAGAACUCCGAUUGCGAAGGCAGCUCACUGGACUGCAACUGACACUGAGGC